rnacentral:tRNA from 1 species
GGUUGGUUCGUAUAGAGGCCCAAUACACAUCAUACAAAAAACUGAUGUAACGUAGGUUCGAAUCCUACACCAGCCG